UAAAAGUGUCACUGCUCUCUGUCUCCUC
rnacentral:piRNA from 1 species